UUACGGCUCAGUAACACGUAGCUAACCUGCCCUUUGGUCAAGGAUAACCUCGGGAAACUGAGGCUAAUACUUGAUAGAGAAUAUUUUCUGGAAAGAAAUAUUUUUUAAACUCGCGCCAAAGGAUGGGGCUGCGGCUGAUUAGGUAGUUGUUGGGGUAAAUGCCUAACAAGCCAAUGAUCAGUAAGGGCUCUUAGCGGAGAGGCCCUGAGAAGGAAUCUGAGACACUAUUCCUAGCCUUACGGGGUGCAGCAGUCGGGUAUAUUUUGCAAUGCGCGCAAGCGUGACAAAGCAAGCCAGAGUGUUUUUCUUAUUAGAAAAACUUUUGUCAGCUGCAAAAAGGCUGAUGAAUAAGGACUGGGCAAGACCGGUGCCAGCCGCCGCGGUAAUCCCGGCGGUCCAAGUCGCAGCCACAAUUAUUGGGUCUAAAACAUCCGUAGCUUGUUUUAUAAGUCUCUUGUGAAAUCUUACAUCUUAAGUGUAAGGCGCGCAAGAGAUACUGUAAUUCUAGAGACCGGAAGACGCAGUGGGUACGAUCAAAGUAGUGGUAAAAUACGUUAAUCUUGAUUGGACCAACAAUGGCGAAGGCACGCUGCGAGGACGGAUCUGACAGUGAGGGAUGAAGGCCAGGGGCGCAAAAUGGAUUAGAUACCCAUGUAGUCCUGGCAGUAAACACUGCACACUAAACAUUAGUACCUCCUCGAGAGGUAUUGGUGCUGUAGAGAAGUCGAAGAGUGUGCUACCUGGGAAGUAUAGCCGCAAGGCCGAAACUUAAAGGAAUUGGCGGGGGAGCACAA
rnacentral:rRNA from 1 species